GCCCUAGUAGCUCAGUGCCAGAGCACCAGCCUUGUAAGCCGGCCGCCGGAUGUUAAACUCCUCCCUAGUGCU
rnacentral:tRNA from 1 species